rnacentral:rRNA from 1 species
UACGUAGGGUGCAAGCGUUAUCCGGAAUUAUUGGGCGUAAAGAGCUCGUAGGCGGUUUGUCGCGUCUGCUGUGAAAACUGGAGGCUCAACCUCCAGCCUGCAGUGGGUACGGGCAAACUAGAGUGCGGUAGGGGAGAUUGGAAUUCCUGGUGUAGCGGUGGAAUGCGCAGAUAUCAGGAGGAACACCGAUGGCGAAGGCAGAUCUCUGGGCCGUAACUGACGCUGAGGAGCGAAAGUGUGGGGAGCGAACAGG